UUAACCAUAAAUUGGAAAUGAUAAAAAUUUUACUUAUUUCUUUGUAUAUAAUUAAACAGAUUUUGUAUGGCUUGCUUCUAUGAGGUUAACUAAGAAAAACUAUGUAACAACGUGGUAUGAUACUUAACUGUAAAUUGAAAAUGAAAUAAUUUUACAAUUUACUUUAUAGGAAAUUACACGGAUUUUAUUUGGACUCCUUGUAUAUGUUUAACUGUGAAAAACAAUGUAAGUUAAUAUUUUGUAGAAAUUAUCUCCGAGUGAUUGUAUUUCAUACAUAUUCUCAGGUGGGGUUCUCUAUCACUAACAAUAGUAUUGUUACUUACAAACCAUAGAGAUCAUCGUGUCUUAAAAAUUGAAUAAAGAAAGAAUGGGGUAUAAGUGAGGAUUAAUAUAGGCAAAAAGAUUGCUAACAGUACACGGUGUUCUCAAGCAGUAACCCAUCCAAGUACUAACCGUGUUCAGCAUUUCUUAACUUCAGUGACCGAACGAGGACUGGUGCAACAACAUGGUAUAACUGUUAACCGAAAAUUUAAAUCAAAAAAUAGUUUACAAUUUGCAUUAUGGAAGCUAUCUGCGAAUGCUUGUUAUUCAUACAUAUUCUCAACAUGAAUCUUACAAUACUUACAAUGGUAUAUUUAUUAUAAAAAUAGAAAGAUCAUUGUGUCCCGAAAAUUAAAUGAAUAUAAAGGAGGGUAAAAGUGAGGGUUAAAAUAGGCAGAAGAAUGCUAACAAUACAUGGUGUUCCCAAGCGUUCAUCCAUCCAUGUACUAACUGUCCAAUGUUGCUUAACUUCAGUGAUUGGACGAGAACUUGUGUUACUACGUGAUAUUAACUAGAGUUGGAAUCUUACGAGUUACUUUUAAUUAUAGUAUUACAUUUAUUUUUUGGUAUGAUGGAUGUACGAUAAAAUUUACUUCAUAUUUUUAACUUAUAACGAUAUUUUUUAUUUAAUAUAUUUAGAUACAAAUA